rfam:Triticum aestivum genome assembly, contig: Triticum_aestivum_CS42_TGACv1_scaffold_223462_3B
UUAGUACUCCCUCCGUCCUAAAUUUUUAUUUUAGAUUUGUCCAAAUACGAAUGUAUGAAAUCACAUUCUAGUAUUAGAUACAUCUGUAUCUAGACAAAUUUAAAACAAGAAUUUUAGGACGGAAAAAGUAAAAG